CAGUCGGUCAGUGUCUCGCACCUGAACUGAAUCCGUAAGACAUUUUUUCCGACUCAAAAAGCAGAAAAGAUUCUCAUCGUCGUGUCCAAUUGUACAAGCUCUCACUUAGUUGCUGCGUUGAAGACGAGUUUCGUGCGUGAAAGUGGAGUACAGAUGUGUUAAAUGCGGGUUUCAGAUCAAAACUCUGUUUGUGCAAUAUUCUCCUGGAAACGUUCGACUCAUUUUCCUUAUUAUUGCUUUCCAUUUCUCGCUUUGAAUUCCAAUUUUUUGCAUUUUAAAUUGUUUCUUCCUGAACUUUUAUUGAUUGGAGAGCUGCAGAGCAGUUGCUGACGAGUACAUUGAAUGUGAAAUAAUGAUUCUUUUGAUUGAUUUGAUUCUACACAAGCUACAAGCUUAUAGGCAUCUUCUCUAUAAUGUCAUCAAUCGCGAAACUGUGAAUCUUGAGGGUUUAUUGUGGAAUUCAACUAUUGGUUUUAUUCUUCUGGAUGCAUAAGUCUGCUUUUGAGACAAAGCAAUGAAGAAUUGUCCUCAUUCAUGAAUUUUUCUUCUUUAGUUUGGCUUUGCCAAAAGGUUCAAAGAAUUUCUUCUUACAAUCUUUAUUUCCAGUUCCUGUAAGAUUUUUCCUGUUGCAAUGAUGGUGUGUUUUCUCAACAGUAUAUGAUUGUAUUGAUUAUAGCUCAUUUGUAGUCAAUAUGUUUAAUGGCUUCCUGUUCAUUUCUUCUUCAACCUUCUUACCUUCUAAUAUCCAUCUAAGUUAAAGUUUGCUUUUGGCAGAUUUGGAAAUUCCCAUCAUCUGUGAUAUUCAUCAUUGAUUUGCUUGUUUUAUCAUCCAAUAUAGUGGCUUUAAAAGGUUAGAAAUAUAGUUAUUUUUCAAUUUGUAGAAGGUGUGACAAAUGGCCUUUUUGUAAUAACUUGCAGAGUAUCUUUAAUUUAACUCGUAUGUGCUGAUGGGGUUGGAGAUGCAUGAAAUUUUCCAAAGAUAAUGCUGGAGCGUUUCAAUUAUUCAAAUUUGGUACUUUUGUAAGAUGGCAUUUAUCCCUUUAGGUGAACCCUAUGAAAUUAGAAAAUUAAUCAUGGCGAACUGCAGUGCUUCACAGAGUAUGCCAGGCAGCCAUCUUGCUACAUUUGUGAUAGAGAAGAAAUUAAGUUUGAUGCGUAGAAGACGAUACAUGCCCUCUUUUUAUUGCUGUGGUCAAUGAUUGACUGAUGGCUUGUUUAUACAUGCAGGAAUUAGGCAGAUAUUAUACCUAUGUGGCUAUCUAUUUCUAUCUUGGAUAUGUCCGGAACAAGUUUCAUAAAUGUUAGACAGAUGACCAUAAUUGAAAUCAAGAAUUUUGUGAUGCUUCUGUGGAUCUCUAACAUGCUUCCUUUUCUGUGUAAAGCAGUGAUCACGAAAUCAGCUAUGAACAGAAUUAUAGAGGCCUGCUUUGUUGCGAAUGCUGUAAAAUUCUUUGUAAUUCAACGGCUCAAGUUAAGAUCUUUUAGUUAGUGGAGACACUUUUUAUUGUCUGUUUGCCUUGUUAUAUUUAAACAGAGCAUAAGAUGUUGCGCUUUUUGUAAAACAUGGUUAAAAUUAUCCUGCACUGCCAUGGCUGUGAAUCAUGUUGAAGCUAUCAGGUACUUCUGAGUUGGAGCUA